rnacentral:lncRNA from 1 species
UUCAGGUUCUUUAGAUUUCUUUAAAAAUCCAAUUUUGUUUUCUAAUAAGCAAAAAGUAAAAUCACUUUACCCAUGUUUAUAUGUUAAAUUGCACUUGUGUCUCUCUCUAUCUCUGUUAACACAUUUAUAUUUGUUUGAUUAAUUCUUGUGUCUUUCAGCCUGUUUCUGCCUAUCACCAUGAGUGAUUCCUCAAUACUCAGAUUUAUCAUCAAGAUCUCAAUUAUAAGCUCAAGUUUUGAUGACAACUUGGUGAUCUGCAGGAAGCACCACCAUGUAAGGAAGGCCAAGACCACUCUGGAAUCAGUCAAGGGUGAAAUGGAGUGAGGCAUACCAGGAUAUGCCUGGUUUUACUUUUGGGAAGGAGGUUGAACAGUGCAAUAUUUCUUCUAUAGGAUUGCAGUGACCAGACAUGCUACUGUAACUCUCAUGGUCAUGUGCUGGAAUUAGCAGAUAUUCAACAAUUUGGCCAUCUCGCUGACCUGUUGAUAUCAGAAGACCGCAACAGCUCUGCAAAGCAAGUUGGAAAACAGAAUCCAUGAAACUGGCAGUGACUGGAAACCAAUUGGAAGACUUUGGUCUGUGAUGUAGAGGAGUGGGCAGAGGCAGAAGCAAAGACAACAAAAAGAAGAAGUGAUGUGGAUGUCUUCGUCAUAUUGCAUGACUCUGCUGACCCAGCAACAAAGAGGAGGGUGUUCAACAUCAUCCUGCUAGUCAGGAUUCUUCAGGAGAAGCAGUGGAUUCUUGUGGCAGAGAUGGCCAACCACUAUAAAUACCUUUCAACUCAUCCUGGUUCUUUCAAAUAACUUUCCUGCUUGUUUGCUACUGAAAUGUACUGAUUCGACAUGUGGCCUUAACGAAGAGGGGUUAAAAGGUCUAUGGAUCAUCAUUCUCAAAAAGCAACAAAAUAACUGAGAAAUAAACAACAAUACGAUGGUGCAAUCUAGAGACCUGCAAGGUACCUGCAAGUUUUGGCUGGAGCAGAGAACAUAGAUUUUUUUUAAAUAAAGCUCCAGCUGAUGAGUAUGACAUUGACUGUGGAUUUUCUUUUACUGUAAUCCAGAAGAGGAUGACCUUAACCCUGAAUCUAAAGCAUGUAAUAAAAUCUGUAAAAAAUUAAAUAAAAUUGUCAUCAUCUAUAA